rnacentral:rRNA from 1 species
UACGUAGGGUGCAAGCGUUGUCCGGAAUUAUUGGGCGUAAAGGGCUCGUAGGCGGUCUGUUGCGUCAGGAGUGAAAACUCGGGGCUUAACUCCGGGCCUGCAGUGGGUACGGGCAGACUAGAGUGCGGUAGGGGAGACUGGAAUUCCUGGUGUAGCGGUGAAAUGCGCAGAUAUCAGGAGGAACACCAAUAGCGAAGGCAGCUCGCUGGGACGGUACUGACGCUAAGGCGCGAAAGCGUGGGGAGCGAACAGG